rnacentral:tRNA from 1 species
UGCGGGGUGGAGCAGUCUGGUAGCUCGUCGGGAACCAUAACCCGAAGGUCGUUGGUUCAAAUCCGACUCCCGCAUCCA